rnacentral:lncRNA from 1 species
AACCGGAAGAUGAGAACAUGAACGUUUCCAUUGCUCUUGAUAUGUAACUCACUUCUUGAGCAAAUAUCAGGUAAGUCCAUCCUUGACUUUUUGUUAUCUUUUGUCUUCCCAGGGACGUUAAGUAAUGUACUCAUGAUGUUCUCAAAAAAGUUCUUCUCAAUAUGCAUGACAUCCAGAUUGUGGCGUAAGAGAAGAUCCUUCCAAUAGGGUAGCUCCCAAAAUAUACUCUUCUUAUGCCAAUUGUGAGACACACCAUAUCCAUCAGACAUAUUUCCAGGAACAUGUCAAUUUCCUCCAACUUUAACUGUUUCCUGAGCUCCGUAAUAAUCAAUGUCUGCUUCGAUCUGCCGGCCGGUGAGAUAUGGAGGAGGACCGUCUCUGACAAUUUUUUUGUGCCGAAACAAUGUCUUAUUUCUUCUGUACGGAUGGGCAAGUGGAAGAAAGCAACGAUGACAGUCAAACCAACAACUCUUCCUACCAUUCUUCAGUUGAAAAGCAUCUGUCGAUCCAAGACAAUAUGAACAAGAUAAUCUUCCAUGUGUUGUCCAUCCAGACA